AAACUUUCAACAAUGGAUCUCUUGGCUCUCGCAUCGAUGAAGAACGCAGCGAAAUGCGAUAGGUAAUAUGAAUUGCAGAAUUCCGUGAAUCAUCAAAUUUUUGAACGCAAAUUGCACUUCUUGGUAUUCCGAGGAGUACACAUGCUUGAGGGUCAGU
rnacentral:rRNA from 1 species